AACCCUGACGCAGCAACGCCGCGUGGGUGAUGAAGGUCUUCGGAUUGUAAAGCCCUGUUUUCUGGGACGAUAAUGACGGUACUAGAGGAGGAAGCCACGGCUAACUACGUGCCAGCAGCCGCGGUAAUACGUAGGUGGCGAGCGUUGUCCGGAUUUACUGGGCGUAAAGGGUGCGUAGGCGGAUGUUUAAGUGGGAUGUGAAAUCCCCGGGCUUAACCUGGGGGCUGCAUUCCAAACUGGAUAUCUAGAGUGCAGGAGAGGAAAGCGGAAUUCCUAGUGUAGCGGUGAAAUGCGUAGAGAUUAGGAAGAACACCAGUGGCGAAGGCGGCUUUCUGGACUGUAACUGACGCUGAGGCACGAAAGCGUGGGUAGCAAACAGGAUUAGAUACCCUGGUAGUCCACGCCGUAAACGAUGGAUACUAGGUGUAGGGGGUAUCAACUCCCCCUGUGCCGCAGUUAACACAAUAAGUAUCCCGCCUGGGGAGUACGGUCGCAAGAUUAAAACUCAAAGGAAUUGACGGGGGCCCGCACAAGCAGCGGAGCAUGUGGUUUAAUUCGAAGCAACGCGAAGAACCUUACCUGGACUUGACAUCCCUUGCAUAGCCUAGAGAUAGGUGAAGCCCUUCGGGGCAAGGAGACAGGUGGUGCAUGGUUGUCGUCAGCUCG
rnacentral:rRNA from 1 species